rnacentral:rRNA from 1 species
AGCAGCCGCGGUAAUUCCAGCUCCAAUAGCGUAUAUUAAAGUUGUUGCAGUUAAAAAGCUCGUAGUUGAACUUCGGGGUUUACUCAUUGGUCAGGCUUAAUUGUCUGUACUGGUGAGAUGAAUCUCUACCUUCUGAGGAACUUUCAUGCCAUUUAUUUGGUGUGGUUGGAAAUCAGGACUGUUACUUUGAAAAAAUUAGAGUGUUUAAAGCAGGCUAACGUCUGAAUACAUUAGCAUGGAAUAAUGAAAUAGGACGGAUUGAUUCUAUUUCGUUGGUUUCUAGGGUCACCGUAAUGAUUAAUAGGGAUAGUUGGGGGCAUUAGUAUUCAAUUGUCAGAGGUGAAAUUCUUGGAUUUAUUGAAGACUAACUACUGCGAAAGCAUUUGCCAAGGAUGUUUUCAUUAAUCAAGAACGAAAGUUAGGGGAUCGAAGACGAUCAGAUACCGUCGUAGUCUUAACCAUAAACUAUGCCGACUAGGGAUCGGACGAAGUUAAUUAAUGACGCG